CGGUAAUACGAAGGGACCUAGCGUAGUUCGGAAUUACUGGGCUUAAAGAGCACGUAGGUGGUUAAGAAAGUUGGUGGUGAAAUCCCAAGGCUUAACCUUGGAACUGCCACCAAAACUUUUUAACUAGAGUAUGAUUGAGGUAAGCGGAAUUUCUAGUGUAGAGGUGAAAUUCGUAGAUAUUAGAAAGAACACCAAUUGCGAAGGCAGCUUUCUGGAUCAUUACUGACACUGAGGUGCGAAAGCAUGGGUAGCGAAGAGGAUUAGAUACCCUCGUAGUCCAUGCCGUAAACGAUGUGUGCUAGACGUUGGGAAUUUAUUUUUCAGUGUCGCAGCAAAAGCGUUAAGCACACCGCCUGGGGAGUACGACCGCAAGGUUAAAACUCAAAUGAAUUGACGGGGACCCGCACAAGUAGUGGAGCAUGUGGUUUAAUUCGAAGAUACGCGCAGAACCUUACCAACACUUGACAUGUUCGUCGCGACUCUAAGAGAUUAGAGUUUUCGGUUCGGCCGGACGAAACACAGGUGCUGCAUGGCUGUCGUCAGCUCGUGUCGUGAGAUGUUGGGUUAAGUCCCGCAACGAGCGCAACCCUUACUUUUAGUUGCUACCAUUUAGUUGGGCACUCUAAAAGAACUGCCAGUGAUAAGCUGGAGGAAGGUGGGGAUGACGUCAAGUCCUCAUGGCCCUUAUGUGUUGGGCUACACACGUGCUACAAUGGUAUUUACAGAGGGAAGCUAAGAGGCAACUCCAAGCUAAUCCCAAAAAGAUACCUCAGUUCAGAUUGUACUCUGCAACUCGAGUACAUGAAGCUGGAAUUACUAGUAAUCGCGGAUCAGCGCGCCGCGGUGAAUACGUUCCCGGG
rnacentral:rRNA from 1 species